AUCAGCUGUAUCUAAACAGAGCAGAGCUCAGGUGACAUCACAGAACAGGCAGAGGCAGUUCAGGGGUAUUCUGGUUGCCUUACCCAGCUCUGAAGUCUGUCAGCCUCUUCAGAUGUCACUUGCCAUGUGGUAAGGAAGUGUAGUCAGCAGCUGGUGCAGUGGGAAGAAGAGAAAGGAAGUUCCCCAAGACAAAAACAUCUCGGCAGACCGUGAUCAUGGGCUACAUUCUCCGUACCAGCUUCAUAGCUCCAGUGAGAAAAUAAAUUCCUGCAUCCAGGAGAUGUGGAGUAAGAGAUACAGCUGCCCUUGACCAUAUUUCUUACUUCCGAGAAGAUCGUAGCAGUAAUUCAGAAUCUCAUCCAGGAUACCUCAUCACAGGCUGGAGUGCAGUGUCAUGAGCUUGGCUCACUACAGCCUCCAUCUUCUGUGCUUAAGGAUCCUUCCCUCUCAACCUCCAAGGUAGCUGAGACUACAGGCAACAUUCGAAACCCAGGUGCCACUCCUUCAGGAAGGUACCAUCAAGCUCCAAGGACUCAUCCUCUUUCUCCUUCCCCACUACCUAGUCAUUAGAGCGUCAGCAUCCACUUCCUGAAAGGAAGAUGCCUGUUUUUCACAUAUCCCAGAAAGCCUCAUUUUAGGACAGCAUUUAGCAGAGUGUAUUCAGGAUCCCACUAACCUUUUCGGAAGACAUGACUUCCAGAUGAUAUAAGGCAAGAAUAAGAAAUUUCAGUGACAGGGAACAGAAAUCAUAUUUCUGCAUUCAGGAUCAUGUUUUCUUGGCUCCAUCAGGAACUGUGCAGGACUGUGCACUCUGUUGAUACUCACAUGGUGGAAUUAUAUUGCCCUUGGCCAACCCUAAAGCCAUCAAGAUAGCAGGUUUGGAAUAAUUCACUGUCGAAGUCUUCUUGAGCUGAGCAGUCAUGUGAGCUUGGAAGAUGAUCCCUCUCCAGCUGAUCCUUCAGCUCAGGCCAUCAUCUACAUCUGGAUUCCUGACCCGGAGAAACUAUGAGUAAUGUGUGCUGCUUUUGAGCCACUAAGCUACAUGAUGCAAAGCCCAGGACAAAAGGCAGAGAUGCAGAUAAUGUCUCACCCUUCCCAGUACAGUCAGAGGGCACAGUUGGGCUAAGAACUCCACAUAUCCCUUGGACUUACUAUGGCUACAAGCAAGACAAGUCAAAUAAUUAUUACCAAUAUCACAGGAGCAGUUUACAGCCUUAAAGCAUCUAGCUAAAACAGUAUCUGACCUGCUUGACUAUUCAGACAAAAUAUUUAAAUAAUUCUAAAGACAUUUAAAUUUUAUUUUUACCAAAAAUUUUAUGUUUUUGCCUUUUAUUUUAGGUUCGGG
rnacentral:lncRNA from 1 species